UGGGGAAUUUUGCACAAUGGGGGAAACCCUGAUGCAGCGACGCCGCGUGAUUUAGAAGGCCUUCGGGUUGUAAAAAUCUUUUCUAUGGGAAGAAAAUGACAGUACCAUAGGAAUAAGGACCGGCUAAUUACGUGCCAGCAGCCGCGGUAAUACGUAAGGUCCGAGCGUUGUCCGGAAUCAUUGGGCGUAAAGGGUACGUAGGCGGGUAAGCAAGUUAGAAGUGAAAUCCUAUAGCUCAACUAUAGUAAGCUUUUAAAACUGCUCAUCUUGAGGUAUGGAAGGGAAAGUGGAAUUCCUAGUGUAGCGGUGAAAUGCGCAGAUAUUAGGAGGAAUACCGGUGGCGAAGGCGACUUUCUGGCCAUAACCUGACGCUGCGGUACGAAAGCGUGGGUAGCAAACCGG
rnacentral:rRNA from 1 species